AUUAUAUGUAGAAAUACGUAGAAUCAUUGAAUAAACCACCUGUAACGUUGUGGGAGAUCGGAAUAACAAUAUUGCGCAGUUUCAUUUUCCAAAAGUUUCUCAAAAGAAAGUAAUACACUGGAGUCCUCGUGUUCUGCGGCCUAUAAGAAAAUAUAUAAAAGAAGAAAGUCAAAUUGCUAAGAUUAUUAAGACCUUGAUAAUGUCGUCGGAAAGCAGACCUUUAUCUCCCAUGCAUCAAAGAGACUUACAGGAAAAGUCCGAUUUCAUGUUUUAAACCUGGAUGCCAUUGGAUAAUUGAGGUCUUUUGCUGUAUCAUUUUGGUUAUUUAUCUUCCUGUAUGCUUGAUUGUAUCCAGUGUUACGUGCUUCUUAGUCUUUUGGGUGAAUGAAAUCUGCAAAUUGAUAUACAAACUUAUCAGAAAGUGCUGUAAUUGUUGCAUUUGUUCAAUGACAUGCCCGAAACCACGAAUGGACCCUUUAACAUGCCUUAAGCGACUUUUUCUGUUGUUCAUCAUACCUCGCAUUAUGGCAACUGUUGUAUUUGCAAGUUACGACUGGCGUUGCAUGAUUUCUAUGGAGAAGCCGGUUCAGAAUUGUACAUUAGAUCAUGUGCUUGGAUUAGGUGAUGCUGUGUCGUGGAUUACAACAUGGCUUUCCCUAUCCAUCGUAUCAUCACUAAUACUUAUCACAGUAUUUAUAUGCGAUGAUGAUUUCGAAUUCGUCAAAGAACAGUGGAAAAAUAUUCAUAAAAAAGGCUCUUUUUCUUUGCUCUUCCUAAUGGUACUGACAUUAGGGUUUUAUAACUGCUUACGUUCUGGGAAGAAAGUUUUAAUGACUUUACUUUUUGUUCUUUGGGUUCCAACUAUCACAGUACUCAUCAGGUGUUGUAAACUGUGUACGUCAGGUUUCUACAAGCCAAUAGAGGAAGUGGAGCAGGGGGCAAGUGAAGUGAAUGGAGGAGGUGGAGCAGGGGAAGCAGGUGAAGGAAUGGAUUAGUAGAGCGGGGAAGCAGGUGAGAGUGAAUGGAGGAGGUGGAGCAGGGG